rnacentral:rRNA from 1 species
AUUGAACGCUGGCGGCAGGCCUAACACAUGCAAGUCGAACGAGUGGCGGACGGGUGAGUAAUGUCUGGGAAACUGCCUGAUGGAGGGGGAUAACUACUGGAAACGGUAGCUAAUACCGCAUACCAUCAGAUGUGCCCAGAUGGGAUAAGCUUGUUGGUGGGGUAACGGCUCACCAAGGCGACGAUCCCUAGCUGGUCUGAGAGGAUGACAAGCAACACGGGAAGGGAGGCACGGUCCAGAGGCCUACGGGAGGCAGAAGGGGGGAGUGUUGCGCAAGGGGGGCAAGCCGGAUGCAGCCAUGCCGCGUGUAGGAAGAGGGCGUUCGGGUUGUAAAGUACUUUCAGCGGGGAGGCGUUACCGGCAGAAGAAGCACCGGCUAACUCCGUGCCAGCAGCGCGGUAAUUC